AGCGAACGCUGGCGGCAGGCCUAACACAUGCAAGUCGAACGAAGUCUUCGGACUUAGUGGCGGACGGGUGAGUAACACGUGGGAGCGUGCCUUUAGGUUCGGAAUAGCUCAGGGAAACUUGUGCUAAUACCGAAUGUGCCCUUCGGGGGAAAGAUUUAUCGCCCUUAGAGCGGCCCGCGUCUGAUUAGCUAGUUGGCGAGGUAAAGGCUCACCAAGGCUACGAUCAGUAGCUGGUCUGAGAGGAUGACCAGCCACAUUGGGACUGAGACACGGCCCAAACUCCUACGGGAGGCAGCAGUGGGGAAUCUUGCGCAAUGGGCGAAAGCCUGACGCAGCCAUGCCGCGUGGAUGAUGAAGGUCUUAGGAUUGUAAAAUCCUUUCACCGGUGAAGAUAAUGACUGUAGCCGGAGAAGAAGCCCCGGCUAACUUCGUGCCAGCCGCCGCAGUAAUAC
rnacentral:rRNA from 1 species